UACGGAGGGGGCAAGCGUUAUUCGGAAUUAUUGGGCGUAAAGGGCGCGUAGGCGGCUAGAUGUGUCCAAGGUGAAAUCCCUCGGCUCAACUGAGGAACUGCCUUUGAAACUGUCUGGCUUGAGUCCGGGAGAGGGUAGCGGAAUUCCCAGUGUAGCGGUGAAAUGCGUAGAUAUUGGGAGGAACACCAGUGGCGAAGGCGGCUACCUGGACCGGAUCUGACGCUGAGGCGCGAAAGCGUGGGUAGCAAACAGG
rnacentral:rRNA from 1 species